GAUGAACGCUGGCGGCGUGCUUAACACAUGCAAGUCGAACGGAAAGGCCUUGUGCUUGCACAAGGUGCUCGAGUGGCGAACGGGUGAGUAACACGUGGGUGAUCUGCCCUGCACUGUGGGAUAAGCCCGGGAAACUGGGUCUAAUACCAUAUAGGACCACUUCUUGGAUGUUGUGGUGGAAAGCUUUUGCGGUGUGGGAUGAGCCUGCGGCCUAUCAGCUUGUUGGUGGGGUAAUGGCCUACCAAGGCGGCGACGGGUAUCCGGCCUGAGAGGGUGUACGGACACAUUGGGACUGAGAUACGGCCCAGACUCCUACGGGAGGCAGCAGUGGGGAAGAUUGCACAAUGGGCGCAAGCCUGAUGCAGCGACGCCGCGUGGGGGAUGAAGGCCUUCGGGUUGUAAACUCCUUUCGCUAUCGACGAAGCCACUUGUGGUGACGGUAGGUAGAUAAGAAGCACCGGCUAACUACGUGCCAGCCGCCGCCGUAA
rnacentral:rRNA from 1 species